rnacentral:rRNA from 1 species
AAGGGCGCACGGUGGAUGCCUUGGCACUAGGAGCCGAUGAAGGACGGGACUAACACCGAUAUGCAAGGGCG